rnacentral:tRNA from 1 species
UGCGGUGUAGAGCAGUCCGGUAGCUCGCUGGGCUCAUAACCCAGGUCUGUCGUGGGUUCGAAUCCCACCGCCGCGA